AUGGAAGAAGGCUCUCCCCUGGCAGGUGUGACUUCACAGUCACAUACCAGGCCAGGUCUAGGCCAGAGGGUGCAGAACAAAUGGUGAGAGCUUUGCUUCCAUUUUUCUUCUUGUCCUGACCUUGCCCCAUGUGUGCUUCUUGCAGCAGCUGAGCCCUGCAGCCCUAAGGCAGAUAAGGAGGCAAAGCAGGAAGGUGACACCUCGAGCGAAGCACUGCUUGAUGAGGAGGCGGUUGUGGAGGAGGGGGAAGUAUCUGGAGAUUGUAGUGAUGUCCAAAAUGGAGCAUCCCAGAAGACUGCCUUGAAUAAAUCCACUAUGUCCUCCUGUGAUAUCUCUGUGAAGGGGCCUAAGUGGUGCGCACUUCGUGAAGCUUGUUACCAGGAUAUUGAUCGCCCAUGUGCACGGCCCAUGAUCUUUAAUAAACAUCAAUACUUCUUUUCUGAUGCGCUUCUUGGAAGUUUUGUCGUGAAAAACCGUUGUCCUAGCUUCAUAGGAAGUGUAACUUCCUACCAGCUUUCGAAGUGUUCCCUUCAAAAUACGCCAUCAUGUGGCAGCGUCCACCCUCAGAGUGAUUCUAUUGAGAAGCCACCCACUCAGACAUGUGGUAGCAGAGGGUGGCUCUUAUCAUCCACCAGAAUUUUAUGUAAAGUGCUAUCGAUCGUUUAUGAAGGUCCCCAGAACCAGAUAUGGUGAAAACCCAAUAUAUACUGGAAAACCCAAUAUUUUAAUAAAUUGAAUCUCAUCAAAUAUAUAGAUG